UACGUAGGGUGCAAGCGUUGUCCGGAAUUAUUGGGCGUAAAGAGCUCGUAGGCGGCUUGUCGCGUCGGCUGUGAAAACCUGGGGCUCAACCCCGGGCCUGCAGCCGAUACGGGCAAGCUAGAAUUCGGUAGGGGAGACUGGAAUUCCUGGUGUAGCGGUGAAAUGCGCAGAUAUCAGGAGGAACACCAAUUGCGAAGGCAGCUCGCUGGGACGUGACUGACGCUGAGACGCGAAAGCGUGGGGAGCGAACAGG
rnacentral:rRNA from 1 species